rfam:Pseudomonas syringae pv. pisi str. 1704B contig3284.1, whole genome shotgun sequence.
GGGAGAGCAGCUGCCUUACAAGCAGCGGGUCGGCGGUUCGAUCCCGUCAUCACCCA